GAUGAAGAACGUAGCGAAAUGCGAUAAGUAGUGUGAAUUGCAGAAUUCAGUGAAUCAUCGAAUCUUUGAACGCACCUUGCGCCCUUUGGCUAUUCCGAAGGGCAUGCCUGCUUGAGUAUCAUGAACACCUCAACUCUCAUGGUUUGCCAUGAUGAGCUUGGACUUUGGGGGUCUUGCCGGCCUAUGGGUCGGCUCCUCUCAAAUUAAUCAGCUUGCCAGUGUUUGGUGACAUCACAGGUGUGAUAACUAUCUACGCUUGUGGUUUUCCAUCAGGUAACCUUCAGUGAUGGAGGUUCGCUGGGGCUCAUAAAUGUCUCUCCUCAGUGAGGACAGCUUUUUUGAACGUUUGAUCUCAAAUCAGGUAGGACUACCCGCUGAACUUAAGCAUAUCAAUAAGCGGAGGA
rnacentral:misc_RNA from 1 species